GGGUCGCGGCUACCAUGCAAGUCGAACGGUAGCACAGAGAGCUUGCUCUCGGGUGACGAGUGGCGGACGGGUGAGUAAUGUCUGGGAAACUGCCUGAUGGAGGGGGAUAACUACUGGAAACGGUAGCUAAUACCGCAUAACGUCGCAAGACCAAAGAGGGGGACCUUCGGGCCUCUUGCCAUCAGAUGUGCCCAGAUGGGAUUAGCUAGUAGGUGGGGUAACGGCUCACCUAGGCGACGAUCCCUAGCUGGUCUGAGAGGAUGACCAGCCACACUGGAACUGAGACACGGUCCAGACUCCUACGGGAGGCAGCAGUGGGGAAUAUUGCACAAUGGGCGCAAGCCUGAUGCAGCCAUGCCGCGUGUAUGAAGAAGGCCUUCGGGUUGUAAAGUACUUUCAGCGGGGAGGAAGGUGUUGUGGUUAAUAACCACAGCAAUUGACGUUACCCGCAGAAGAAGCACCGGCUAACUCCGUGCCAGCAGCCGCGGUAAUACGGAGGGUGCAAGCGUUAAUCGGAAUUACUGGGCGUAAAGCGCACGCAGGCGGUCUGUCAAGUCGGAUGUGAAAUCCCCGGGCUCAACCUGGGAACUGCAUUCGAAACUGGCAGGCUGGAGUCUUGUAGAGGGGGGUAGAAUUCCAGGUGUAGCGGUGAAAUGCGUAGAGAUCUGGAGGAAUACCGGUGGCGAAGGCGGCCCCCUGGACAAAGACUGACGCUCAGGUGCGAAAGCGUGGGGAGCAAACAGGAUUAGAUACCCUGGUAGUCCACGCCGUAAACGAUGUCGAUUUGGAGGUUGUGCCCUUGAGGCGUGGCUUCCGGAGCUAACGCGUUAAAUCGACCGCCUGGGGAGUACGGCCGCAAGGUUAAAACUCAAAUGAAUUGACGGGGGCCCGCACAAGCGGUGGAGCAUGUGGUUUAAUUCGAUGCAACGCGAAGAACCUUACCUGGUCUUGACAUCCCAGAACUUUCCAGAGAUGGAUUGGUGCCUUCGGAACUGUGAGACAGUG
rnacentral:rRNA from 1 species